rnacentral:tRNA from 2 species
UGACGUUGGCUCAGUGGUAGAGCGGCAGCGAAAGCUGCAGGUCGCCGGUUCGAAUCCGGCACGUCAGCCA